AGUCGAAGAAAAACAUACAAAAUACGAACGUCCCUGUAUCUUACCCCGCUCCCUUCCCCGGAAAAUAAUAGAAAAAAAAACAAUGAUGAAAACCGUACUAAUUUAAGGCUCUGCAGUUGGAACACAAAAUAGUAUAUCUGCAAUUGAUUGAUUGGUACUUAUCGCCACUUCCAGCCCUAUUGUGCUAUCGUGGCAUUCUGUUUGUAUUGGUGGAGGAAGCCAAAAUGCCUGGAGAGAACAACCGACUUUCUGUAGGAAAACUUUCAAUCCUAUUCAAUCAAUAUUGGAAUCGAUCGCACCAGUCACGUGCGGAAUUCGAACUCACAAUCUCAGUGUCGACAGGCUAGUGAUACUGUACAGUAGUUCGACUACUCAGACAACUCGACCACCGAGGGCCCGUAUAUCUACGACAUAUGAGAUAUAUCCGUUGUCAUCAGGGACAUAGCGGUCAUCCAAGUCAUAAUUGAGUUCGUGAAAUUUCGGAAAGAAGAUUUCAAUUUUACCAUUCAAAAUCUAUUUGACAAGAAACACAAGCUAUGGCAUAUCGUAUCAACUAGGAGAUAUAUAUCUUUAAAAUUAUACUAUAGCUUUAUAAAAAAAAAAUUUAAAUUUCGAAUCCAAGAGGAAAACAAAAGACUUGAUCGUACCUUCUCCUUUACUGGAAAAGAAUAUUUAUAUCAUUUUUUUUUAAACUUCAUGAUAAAACCUUUACGAAUUUUGAAUAUCCCCUGAGCCUUGGUGUAGGUAUCAAACUAUGAUGCCAUAAUUAAUUUAAUGUGACAAAUGAUAUUAAUUAUUGCAUAUAUUUCUUUAUCUAUCAAUUGUAUUUAGAUGUACUGUUGUCAUUGAAAUUGAAUCAAUUUAUAACCCAUACUUUAGAGCCUCUAUCGCUCACCUAGGUAUACGUGCAUAUUCAACAAAGGAUACUCUCCAACAUUGUAGACAUGAAUAGAACUCAUGACAAAAAUCUUUUUCUUUUUUUGUU